GAAAUGCGAUAAGUAAUGUGAAUUGCAGAAUUCAGUGAAUCAUCGAAUCUUUGAACGCACAUUGCGCCCGCCAGUAUUCUGGCGGGCAUGCCUGUUCGAGCGUCAUUUCAACCAUCAAGCCCCCGGCUUGUGUUGGGGACCUGCGGCUGCCCGCAGGCCCUGAAAAACAGUGGCGGGCUCGCUGUCACACCGAGCGUAGUAGCAUACAUUCUCGCUCAGGGCGUGCUGCGGGUUCCGGCCGUUAAACGACCUUCAUAACCCAAGGUUGACCUCGGAUCCGGUAGGAAGACCCGCUGAACUUAAGC
rnacentral:misc_RNA from 1 species